CUACGAAGGGGGCUAGCGUUGUUCGGAAUCACUGGGCGUAAAGCGCGCGUAGGUGGAUCAAUUAGUUGAGGGUGAAAUCCCGGGGCUCAACCUCGGAACUGCCUUCAAUACUGUUGAUCUUGGGACCGAGAGAGGUGAGUGGAAUUCCUAGUGUAGAGGUGAAAUUCGUAGAUAUUAGGAAGAACACCAGUGGCGAAGGCGGCUCACUGGCUCGGUACUGACGCUGAGGUGCGAAAGCGUGGGGAGCAAACAGGAUUAGAAACCCUAGUAGUCC
rnacentral:rRNA from 1 species